rnacentral:rRNA from 1 species
GGUGAACGCUGGCGGUAGGCCUAACACAUGCAAGUCGAACGGCAGCACAGUAAGAGCUUGCUCUUACGGGUGGCGCGUGGCGGACGGGUGAGGAAUACAUCGGAAUCUACUUUUUCGUGGGUGAUAACGUAGGGAAACUUACGCUAAUACCGCAUACGUCCUACGGGUGAAAGCAGGGGUUCUUCGGACCUUGCGCGAUUGUAUGAGCCGAUGUCGGAUUAGCUAGUUGGCGGGGUAAAGGCCCACCAAGGCGACGAUCCGUAGCUGGUCUGAGAGGAUGAUCAGCCACACUGGAACUGAGACACGGUCCAGACUCCUACGGGAGGCAGCAGUGGGGAAUAUUGGACAAUGGGCGCAAGCCUGAUCCAGCCAUACCGCGUGGGUGAAGAAGGCCUUCGGGUUGUAAAGCCCUCUUGUUGGGAAAGAAAAGCAGAAGGUUAAUACCCCGAUGUUCUGACGGUACCCAAAGAAUAAGCACCGGCUAACUUCGUG